rnacentral:rRNA from 1 species
AGCUAUGGCCAUACCACCAUGAAUGUGCCUGAUCUCAUGUGAUCUCGGAAACUAAGCAGGGCCAGGCCUGAUCAAUACUUGGACGGGAGACAUCAUUU